AACGAACGCUGGCGGCAUGCCUAACACAUGCAAGUCGAACGAGACCUUCGGGUCUAGUGGCGAACGGUUGCUUAACGCGUGGGAACCUGCCCUUAGGUUCGGAAUAACUCCCCGAAAGGGGUGCUAAUACCGAAUAUGUUCUUCGGACCAAAGAUUUAUCGCCUUUGGAUGGGCCCGCGUUGGAUUAGCUAGUUGGUAGGGUAAAAGCCUACCAAGGCGACGAUCCAUAGCUGGUCUGAGAGGAUGAUCAGCCACACUGGGACUGAGACACGGCCCAGACUCCUACGGGAGGCAGCAGUGGGGAAUAUUGGACAAUGGGCGAAAGCCUGAUCCAGCAAUGCCGCGUGAGUGAUGAAGGCCUUAGGGUUGUAAAGCUCUUUUACCCGGGAUGAUAAUGACAGUACCGGGAGAAUAAGCUCCGGCUAACUCCGUG
rnacentral:rRNA from 1 species